rnacentral:misc_RNA from 1 species
UGCUCAUAAGCUUCCCCAAACUUGAGUAUUGCUUGUGUCAACAUUCUAAUUGAAUUCCCCCACCCUUUUCUUUCCUUCGCUCCCUUUGUAUUCACUCCUCUCUGCACCACCACCCUUGACUUCUUCUCUGGUGGUAAACUAUCAUCCGAAUCUGGAAAAUUCUCCUCCUCCUCCGAGGAUGACUCAGUUUCCACCUGAUUUCGUUUUCGAAGAUGCGGUUUCACAUUAUGACUCUUCGUUACCUGAUUGCUCUUCAUUUGUGCCUUUCCUUGAUGAAACUGAUAUUGGUUCGACCCACUAGCUCCACCACUGCGUAUCCCAACUGGGAUUCCUACCGGAACUUUGCUAGACAAAGAAGCGGCAGCGGCAGCAGCAGUAACAGGGAUCUUGGCGGCUGGACCAAUUAACUGAUCCAACCGUUCGUAAAACGGCCACUUGCUGGGUCCACCACCCGAAGCAAUCUUCGCU